rnacentral:rRNA from 1 species
AUUAAACGCUGGCGGCAUGCCUUACACAUGCAAGUCGAACGGCAGCACGGGGCAACCUGGUGGCGAGUGGCGAACGGGUGAGUAAAGCAUCGGAACGUGCCCUGGAGUGGGGGAUAACGUAGCGAAAGUUACGCUAAUACCGCAUAUUCUGUGAGCAGGAAAGCAGGGGGAUCGCAAGACCUUGCGCUCUGGGAGCGGCCGAUGUCGGAUUAGCUAGUUGGUGGGGUAAAGGCCUACCAAGGCGACGAUCCGUAGCGGGUCUGAGAGGAUGAUCCGCCACACUGGGACUGAGACACGGCCCAGACUCCUACGGGAGGCAGCAGUGGGGAAUUUUGGACAAUGGGCGCAAGCCUGAUCCAGCCAUGCCGCGUGAGUGAAGAAGGCCUUCGGGUUGUAAAGCUCUUUCGGCCGGGAAGAAAUCGCAUGGGUCAAUACCCUGUGUGGAUGACGGUACCGGAAUAAGAAGCACCGGCUAACUACGUG